AAUUGACCUCCGAUCA
rnacentral:rRNA from 1 species